CGAAAACUCCGAGUUUUCCAACUCUGGGUUGUGCAACUGUCUCUCCUCUGACCACGUGAGUGUCACAUGUUGGUGGGUGGAGUUGGUGCGGGUGUAACUUAUGUGCAAGUACUUGCUGUGCAGAGGUGACAUGAAUCAAGACUUCCCUGUGUGUACUUAAAAUCCAUCAGUGUUCAUCAGGUAUGGAGUAUCAGCAGGUGACCAGAUUGCAGUAAACUGAGACUUUGCCUUUGAUGAAGCAAGUGGGUGACAUCAUAGGGAGGAUGCCCGGGCUAAAUUUACUGUGAAAAUACUGAAACAGAGCCAAGUCCCGGAGGAGUGUGUUGAGAGAGUACCAAGCCAUGUAUCUGCCCGAGCUUGCAGCUGCAUGACCCAAGUCACCAGCAACUGGGACAACACCGGAGGGAGAUGGACCCUCGAGGAGCCACCCCCUGGUGUGUGCUCGCUCAUAUUUUUGUUUGCCUGUGUGUAUAUUGAUGCAUGAAACUGGCCACACACUUGCAUACAAGCAUCCCUGUGCACGUCUUGCCUUGUCAGCACGGUCUGGAUUCAACUGGAUGAUAGGCGCCCUGCUAACUCUCACUGUCAGUGUCAUCCAAACACUGAGUAGUUCCCACAGUCUCCAACAGGCUUCUCUGCUAAGCAUUAAAGCUAAUCCUCUAUCACCUGCAAGAUGGACGAUGGAGCAAUGAUCAAGUUCCCACGGAUAAUUUGAGAGAAGUCACUAGCGGUCAUUGCUAAAGGAAAGUGUGUUAACAGCUUAAAUUAAGCGAGCCUUUAAGGAAGACAGAUUUGUACGAUGAAAUCUACCACCACAACUGUAGUAAUUAUUGUUUUAUGAAACCUAAGAAUUGUGUGUUACAUGUCUUUAUUUAGUGCCAGCUCUCAUUUCCUCUCUGUUCUUGGGUGCCUGACAGGUUCAAGGUGUCAAAAUACCAUCAAGGUCUUGUAAUCAUGCUGGAGAGUUGUCAACACAAAGAAAAAAACUUCUGUUUGUGCUUGUUCUAAAAGAAAACUUCAAAUAUAUCAUUUUCCUUGUAAAUAUCACUUUCUAAAUCCCACUUGCUAAAUAUAUACAAACAUGGCCUUGCAUUUACUCGUGCUACCCUGAGGAAGUUAUAUUAGCCUGUGCUCCACUGACCUCUACAAGUCAAAUAAAACAUAUUCUCCUUCAAAAAGAUGAAAGGAAUGACUCAGAUCAUAGUUCACACAGCAUUUUCUGACUCAAACAAAGGAUCUACAAAUCUAUGCAGUGAUGACAGAAAAGCAUAGUUUACCUAGUUGUGGUGUGUGUAU